rnacentral:rRNA from 1 species
GACGAACGCUGGCGGCGUGCUUAACACAUGCAAGUCGAACGGAAAGGCCCUGCUUGCAGGGUACUCGAGUGGCGAACGGGUGAGUAACACGUGGGUGAUCUGCCCUGCACUUCGGGAUAAGCCUGGGAAACUGGGUCUAAUACCGGAUAGGAGCCAUUUUUAGUGUGAUGGUUGGAAAGUUUUUUCGGUGUAGGAUGAGCUCGCGGCCUAUCAGCUUGUUGGUGGGGUAAUGGCCUACCAAGGCGGCGACGGGUAGCCGGCCCGGGAGGGUGGACGGCCACCUUGGGGCUGAGAUACGGCCCAGACUCCCACGGGGGGCAGCAGUGGGGAAUAUUGCACAAUGGGCGCAAGCCUGAUGCAGGCACGCCGCGUGGGGGAUGACGGCCUUCGGGUUGGAAACUCCUUUCGCUAGGGACGAAGCUUUUUGUGACGGUACCUAGAUAAGAAGCACCGGCUAACUACGUG